AUUGAACGCUGGCGGCAGGCUUAACACAUGCAAGUCGAACGAGUGGCGGACGGGUGAGUAAUGCUUGGGAAUCUGCCCGAUAGAGGGGGAUAACUACUGGAAACGGUGGCUAAUACCGCAUACUAUCGGAUGAACCCAUAUGGGAUUAGAUAGUAGGUGGGGUAAAGGCUCACCUAGGCGACGAUCUCUAGCUGGUCUGAGAGGAUGAUCAGCCACACUGGGACUGAGACACGGCCCAGAUUCCUACGGGAGGCAGCAGUGGGGAAUAUUGCACAAUGGGCGCAAGCCUGACGCAGCCAUGCCGCGUGAAUUAAGAAGGCCUUAGGGUUGUAAAGUACUUUCAGCGACGAGGCGUUACCCGCAGAAGAAGCACCGGCUAACUCCGUGCCAGCAGCCGCGGUAAUUC
rnacentral:rRNA from 1 species